GACGAACGCUGGCGGCGUGCCUAAUACAUGCAAGUAGAACGCUGAAGGAGGAGCUUGCUUCUCUGGAUGAGUUGCGAACGGGUGAGUAACGCGUAGGUAACCUGCCUGGUAGCGGGGGAUAACUAUUGGAAACGAUAGCUAAUACCGCAUAAGAGUAGAUGUCGCAUGACAUUUUUCUUAAAAGGUGCAAUUGCAUCACUACCAGAUGGACUUGCGUUGUAUUAGCUAGUUGGUGAGGUAAAGGCUCACCAAGGCAAAGAUACAUAGCCGACCUGAGAGGGUGGUCGGCCAAACUGGGAAUGGGACAAGGCCCAGAAUCCUAAGGGAGGCAGCAGUAGGGAAUCUUCGGCAAUGGACGGAAGUCUGACCGAGCAACGGCGCGGGGGUGAAGAAGGUUUUCGGAUCGUAAAGCUCUGUUGUAAGAGAAGAAAGAGUGUGAGAGUAGAAAGUUCACACUGUGACGGUAUCUUACGAGAAAGGGACGGCUAACUACGUG
rnacentral:rRNA from 1 species